rnacentral:rRNA from 1 species
UACAGAGGUCUCAAGCGUUGUUCGGAUUCAUUGGGCGUAAAGGGUGCGUAGGCGGCGCGGUAAGUCGGGUGUGAAAUCUUGGAAGCUUAACUCCGAAACUGCAAUUCGAUACUGCCGUGCUUGAGGACUGGAGAGGAGACUGGAAUUCAUGGAUGUAGCAGUGAAAUGACGUAGAGAUCAUGAGGAAGACCAGUGGCGGAGGCGGGUCUCUGGACAGUUCCUGACACUGAGACACGGAAGGCCAGGGGAGCAAACGGG